UAAAACACCACGGAUACAUCUAUAUCAACCUUAUCCAUUUCUCAUUAUUUUAAUUUAGUUUUAAAAAGUUGUGAUUUUUAUUUAUCUUUUUUUUUCGUCUUUUUUAGUUUCCGAUCCUCCGCCGUUAUGGUGAAGGCACCAUAGUACAUAGUUUAGAACACCUGUCGAGCAAUUCCUUUCUGUUGAUUAUAAACCUUAUUAGCUUCACAUUAUAUAUUAUGUUUUAUUUAGAAAUUCUCGUAUGUGAAAACAGUCCUGGUUUGGAUGUUGAAAAGCUUGGACGUUGAAAUAUUCUACUUGCUUUAAGAUGAUCUAACGAGAUAUAUUUCAAGCUUUGGAUUACUAAGCACAGAACCAGUAAUGUUUUCAACACAAUGACCAAUUCUAAAUUCACAGAUCAAUUUAUUCUUUGACUAUGUCGCCAUGUUUGGCUUUUAUGUUUUUACCUUGUAUGCCGUGUCUGUUGUAUGUUUGAUUCCUGUUGUUCCUAAGUAUUGUCGGUACUUAUUGUAUUAUAUUAUCUAUACAUGCAUACUAUCAUACCUAUUACUUCAUUGUGUCAUACAGUACUGUCAAACCGGACGUAGCGUGAGACACUCACAAAAGUCUGUACGUUAAAUAUAAACUAUGGAAUGAAUUGGUCCUCCCUACUACAUUAUUACAAUGUGAUUUUCCAUAUUCUUGCUCCUAAUGUGCCCCAGAUUUGAUAUAGUUUUAUAUCCACGUUUUGUUUUCUCCCCUGAUGAUUAAACCACCUGUUAUUGGAUUCUUAUUUGAACGGCUUAUUCACUUUAUACAAUACAUGGAUUUUGUAGGUGUUAAAAAGGGCUUUAGAAUAUCAAUUCAUGGUAAUAUAUUAAAAGGUAAAAACAGCAAUCAGGUCUAGAUAUUCAAAGGUAAUACAAUAUUUAUCACAACCAGGUCUAGAUAUUCAAAGGUAAUACAAUAUUUAUCACAAUCAGGUCUAGAUAUUCAAAGGUAAUACAAUAUUUAUCACAAUCAGGUCUAGAUAUUCAAAGGUAAUACAAUAUUUAUCACAAUCAGGUCUAGAUAUUCAAAGGUAAUACAAUAUUUAUCACAAUCAGGUCUAGAUAUUCAAAGGUAAUACAAUAUUUAUCAUGAUCAGGUUUUAAAUGAGAUAUAAGAAUAUCUGUAUUUAAUUGUUUAUCAUAAUUACUGUCUAGAAAAGUAAUGUUGGCAGUUUUACAGAAAAAGGCCUCAAUUGAUAUGAUAGUUCAUAUAGUGAUCUUUUUAAUGGAAUUACAUGUUGAUCGAUUAACUUGAUAACACAUUUUACCUACAUCUGUUUACCUUCUGUAUUGUAAUUCUUGAUUGGUUUUUUCUUCGAUUUUGGAUUAGUAUUACUUCGAUUUUGGAUUUGUAUUACUGGCGAUUUUGGAUUAGUAUUACUGGCGAUUUUGGAUUAGUAUUACUGGCGAUUUUGGAUUAGUAUUACUGGCGAUUUUGGAUUAGUAUUACUGGCGAUUUUGGAUUAGUAUUACUGGCGAUUUUGGAUUAGUAUUACUGGCGAUAUUGGAUUAGUAUUACUGGCGAUUUUGGAUUAGUAUUACUGGCGAUUUUGGAUUAGUAUUACUGGCGAUUUCAACACAUUUAAUACUGUAGCGUCACUGAGAGCAAGAAGGCAUAAACAGUCAUAAUGAAUUACGUACACUAUUAUUGUUUAUUUACAACUAUGUUUUAUUUAAAUGAAUCAUUUGUAAAUGUGUUGUUAAAAGGUAUUUCAAAAAUAAAAAGGCUGAAGGGCAAUGCUGAUAUUGACCUCAUUACUGGAAAAUAAUUACCCUUUGCCUUUGCUAUAUUUCAUUAGUUUAAU